AAAACAAUAGAGGACAGGUAUUAUAGAGACUUUGUUUAAUGCUUAUCAAAAAUCACUGACAUGCACGAGUAUUAAAUUUGCUUUUAUUUUUUUUUUUUCAAAUUUUUUUCUAUGUUUAUUUCUUUUUAAAGAUUAUAAACUUUAUUUGUCUUGACAUUAAACUUUGACCCGCGACAAGUAGAAAGCGCGCGUUUCUUGUCUCGCAUAAAUUUCUUGUCUUUCGGCGAGUGACCUUCCACAGUUGGGUCCAUUGAUUUUGCAUAAACACGUCUGAAGCGAGAGAGCGCGCGAAACAUAGAGAGAGAGAGAGAGAACGGAGUGGGAGCGAACGCGGCUGCUGCUGCUGCUCUCUUAACACACACACAUACACGCGCACAAAAUGCAACUCAUUCAUGAAUGGCGGCGUCGGUGGUUUUUUUCUUCUUUUUUUCCAUCUUCUUCCGCUAUUCACACCUUCGCCCAGUCGCCAACAUGCACUUGUCGCAUUAGUGUUAAAAAGCGCCAGGAACUAAGGAGGAGUAGCCGAUUGAGAGUCGCAGCGCCGUCGCGUGUCUCGUGCGCCCACAAAAAGCUUUGAACAGCAGCCGGAGCAGGCCGACUAAAUUAAAAUAAAAAAAACUAAAGUGCGCAACAAAGCGGAAUGCGAAAAAAUAUAAAAUAUCAGCGGCGCUGGCAGGUGCCGGCAGAGGGUUGCCAGCAAGCAGGAAAAAAAAAAAAACCAACGAAAUAACAAUUAGAGAAACAUACAUAUGCAUGCACGUAUUUGAAUGUCUAAUUGCAUGCCAGACACGCGACAGUUUGGCUACGCACACGAGCCCACUCACACACACACACACACACACACAGGCACACUCAGGUAAUUUCAUUUCAUUUCGUUAGCAAGUUAAGCUUUGGCGUAUCAUAUCCGGUUUUUUUUUGCGGCCCAACGCUUUCAAAAUUUCUAGUGAAAUUUUUUGCCGCAAAGGUUUUCAUGUGCAUGCAUGCAUACAUACACACAUAUAUGCAGGCAUGCAUGUGUGCGUCUGUCUGUGUGCGCAUUUGUAUGUUUCAUGUUGUCGCACCACCCUGGCAAAAAAUAAAGGCAAAACACGCGUUUUGCUUCACAUUCAUCUUCUCGCCCAUUCGAUGGGCUUUCAUCUUCUCUCAUUUUAUGCUGAGAGCGCGCCGACGUAAUCGAUAAAGUACACAAAUACGAUAAAAAUACAUGUGGCAAAAAAAGGCAGGAAAAAAUUUCCUAUAUGCCGCCAGAAAGUUACAGUUAAUCGCACUCCACACAGCACACUCUCUAAUUUAUUCAAUAAAUAGCGCAGAUUUAAUAUUGCGUUUAAUGCAUUUA